rnacentral:rRNA from 1 species
UCAGAGGUGGAAGCGUGGUGACACGUGGAGCUGACUGAUACUAAUCGGUCGAGGACUUAACUAA